GAGUAGCUGGGACUACGGGGGCCCGCCAUUGCGCCCGGCUAAUUUUUUUUGUAUUUUUAGUAGAGACGGGGUUUCACCAUGUUAGCCAGGAUGUUCUCGGUCUCCUGACCUCAUGAUCCACCUGCCUCGGCCUCCCAAAGUGCUGGGAUUACAGGAGUGAGCCACCGCGCCCGGCCAAGAGGCAGGAUCUCACCACCUUUUCUGGGCUAGUCUCGAACUUCUGGCCCUGUUACCAGCGGCAAAUCCCACAGGUCUGCAGCAACCUCAAUUCUCGUUUCCUCAGAAGAAAGAAUUCAACUGAUGGGCAGAAGGCAGAAGGAGAUACUGAGGUGGAGAAAAGAAUAAAGAAACCCAUAUUUCUUGAACUUCUCCUCUGAACCAAAUACAGCCUUUAGAAUUUCCAGGACUGUACCUACCAUCAAAUUCAUGAUCCUCUUCUGGAAAAUGUACUCACCCAGCUACCUCUUGGUCUGCAUCCUUGCUGCUGCUGGCUUCAGGUAAUGAUAUUUACCCAGCUCAUUGAAAUGUCACACUUAGGACUGAGGCCUAUAAAUUAUUAUUGUACUCGUGUUAUAUUGUAAAGAUAAAGGUCAGAUCAGAGCUCAGAUUUAUUCACACACAAGAUGCAUUUCUGAGAGUUAGAAGAAAAAUAAACGAUUGGGUUUUUCAGUUAAAAGUACACACAAGUGAUAUUGUGCUUUUUUUUUUUUUAACAAAGGAAAAGAAAUAACCACAGAACCAGUAGUUCUUGGAGUAAAUAAAAGUAAAGAUUGGCUCAUCUGAGGUCUAGAAGUACUACCUCCAAUUUUCUGCUCAUUUUCUAACUGUCCUUUAAAAGUGACUGGAUAAGGUAAAAGGUCAGGGCCAAGUUCAGGAAGAUUAGGGAACAACUGAGAAUUGAUCAUUGCACAGUGACUUAGCAGGUAACCUUCUCCUUCGCAGGACCAAGAUAGCCCCUGGGUUCCCUGCAGAAAGUUGUUUGGUGGCUGGAAAGCCUGUGUCAUUUUGGAUUAGCACCUUUGUGCACAGGUAGCUGCAAAGCGCGUGUCUUUUUACCUUGAACUACAGAUUUUCAAAAGCAAGAUAGCUGACUAAUCCUAGCCCCUGCUAGCCCUACAGCCAAGGAGGCAGCUCAGUGAGGAGGAAAUGAUAAACGAUGAUAUUAGCGCUGGAGGUAGUCCUCCAGUGUGGACUGAGAGUCUGUGUUGGGCAGCCUGGAGUGCAUGUUGCUGGUGUCUCUGCUGCACCAGCUCUUUGAAUAAAUCAUGGACUGAGUGUUGUUAGCUGUAAGGGCAACAGCUCUUGUCAGCACUUAAUAAAAAGUCCCAGUCCAUCUACAUCAAAUGAUUUUUCUUCCAUAAAAUUUGGCUUUUGAGCUUUGAAAGAAUUUUCUACGCUCACCCCAUUUUUCUUGCUCACUUAGCAUCCUUUCAAGGAUUAUCUCCACAUAGAGAGUGAUGUUUGAAGGAUUUAGUCUUUCGAACUAUUUGAACAAGAACUGCUGGAUAAUCUUUUAUUUGCCUCUCACUUCUGUAAUUCACCCUACUUCUUCCCCUUCUUCUUGUUUUCCUUUGCAUUUCCCAGUUGAAUCUCAGUGCAUUUACUUAACAUUCUCCUUUUUUCUAUGUUCUCCUACAGUUUUUUAUUCUUUAUUAACUCAUUCAUAGUAAUUACAACUACAAACUCUAAGUGCUUACUUGUGGUUGGCACUGUACUGGACAUGGCAAGGAAGGGGUAGUUUGUAUUUGACAUUAUUUGAGGCAUUUGCUAAUCUUUGUUAUUUUAAUAGAAAGAAGAAAAAAACACAUAAUCGUGUUUUUAUUUUUCUUAUUAUUUUUUGAAACAAGGUCUCACUCUGUCACCCAGGCUGGAGUGCAGUGGCAUGAUCAUGGCUCACUGCAGCAUUGACCUCCUUGGGGUCAAGUGAUCCUCCCACCUCAGCUCCCUG